AUGAACGCUGGCGGCGUGCCUAAUACCUGCCAGUCGAGCGAACAGACGAGGAGCUUGCUCCUCUGACGUUAGCGGCGGACGGGUGAGUAACACGUGGAUAACCUACCUAUAAGACUGGGAUAACUUCGGGAAACCGGAGCUAAUACCGGAUAAUAUUUUGAACCGCAUGGUUCCAUAGUGAAAGACGGUUUUGCUGUUACUUAUAGAUGGAUCCGCGCCGCAUUAGCUAGUUGGUAAGGUAACGGCUUACCAAGGCAACGAUGCGUAGCCGACCUGAGAGGGUGAUCGGCCACACUGGAACUGAGACACGGUCCAGACUCCUACGGGAGGCAGCAGUAGGGAAUCUUCCGCAAUGGGCGAAAGCCUGACGGAGCAACGCCGCGUGAGUGAUGAAGGUCUUCGGAUCGUAAAACUCUGUUAUUAGGGAAGAACAAAUGUGUAAGUAACUAUGCACGUCUUGACGGUACCUAAUCAGAAAGCCACGGCUAACUACGUG
rnacentral:rRNA from 1 species